rnacentral:rRNA from 1 species
ACUCCUACGGGAGGCAGCAGUAAGGAAUAUUGGUCAAUGGACGCAAGUCUGAACCAGCCAUGCCGCGUGAAGGAUGAAAGUCCUCUGGAUUGUGAACUUCCUUUAUGUGGGAAGAAACCGCUUUUUUCUAAAGGCGUUGACGGUACCAUAGGAAUAAGCACCGGCUAACUCCGUGCCAGCAGCCGCGGUAAU